AGUGAACGCUGGCGGUAGUCCUAACACAUGCAAGUCGAACGGCAGCACAGUAAGAGCUUGCUCUUACGGGUGGCGAGUGGCGGACGAGUGAGGAAUACAUCGGAAUCUACUUUUUCGUGGGGGAUAACGUAGGGAAACUUACGCUAAUACCGCAUACGACCUACGGGUGGAAGCAGGGGAUCUUCGGACCUUGCGCGAUUGAAUGAGCCGAUGUCGGAUUAGCUAGUUGGCGGGGUAAAGGCCCACCAAGGCGACGAUCCGUAGCUGGUCUGAGAGGAUGAUCAGCCACACUGGAACUGAGACACGGUCCAGACUCCUACGGGAGGCAGCAGUGGGGAAUAUUGGACAAUGGGCGCAAGCCUGAUCCAGCCAUACCGCGUGGGUGAAGAAGGCCUUCGGGUUGUAAAGCCCUUUUGUUGGGAAAGAAAAGCAGCAGGUUAAUACCCCGCUGUUCUGACGGUACCCAAAGAAUAAGCACCGGCUAACUUCGUG
rnacentral:rRNA from 1 species